GGCGAACGCUGGCGGCGUGCUUAACACAUGCAAGUCGAACGGAAAGGCCCUGCUUUUGUGGGGUGCUCGAGUGGCGAACGGGUGAGUAACACGUGAGUAACCUGCCCUUGACUUUGGGAUAACUUCAGGAAACUGGGGCUAAUACCGGAUAGGAGCUCCUGCUGCAUGGUGGGGGUUGGAAAGUUUCGGCGGUUGGGGAUGGACUCGCGGCUUAUCAGCUUGUUGGUGGGGUAGUGGCUUACCAAGGCUUUGACGGGUAGCUGGCCUGAGAGGGUGACCGGCCACAUUGGGACUGAGAUACGGCCCAGACUCCUACGGGAGGCAGCAGUGGGGAAUAUUGCACAAUGGGCGGAAGCCUGAUGCAGCAACGCCGCGUGCGGGAUGACGGCCUUCGGGUUGUAAACCGCUUUCGCCUGUGACGAAGCGUGAGUGACGGUAAUGGGUAAAGAAGCACCGGCUAACUACGUG
rnacentral:rRNA from 1 species